rnacentral:tRNA from 1 species
GGCAACUUGGCCGAGUGGUUAUGGCGCUAGUUUCAGGUACUAGUGGAGCGAUCCGCGUGAGUUCGAGUCUCACAGUUGUCA